rnacentral:rRNA from 1 species
AUACGGAGGAUCCGAGCGUUAUCCGGAUUUAUUGGGUUUAAAGGGUGCGCAGGCGGGAGAUUAAGUCGGCGGUGAAAUUUUGCAGCUCAACUGUAAAAGUGCCUUCGAAACUGGUUUCCUUGAGUGUAGAUGAAGUAGGCGGAAUUUGUGGUGUAGCGGUGAAAUGCAUAGAUAUCACGAGGAACUCCGAUUGCGCAGGCAGCUUACUAAACUACUACUGACGCUCAGGCACGAAGGCGUGGGGAUCAAACAGGAUUAGAUACCCUGGUAGUCCACGCAGUAAACGAUGAUUACUAGCUGUUUGCGAUACAAUGUAAGCGGCUGAGCGAAAGCGUUAAGUAAUCCACCUGGGGAGUACGUUCGCAAGAAUGAAACUCAAAUGAAUUGGCGGG